UAGUGAGUUUGAUCCUGGCUCAGGAUGAACGCUGGCGGUAUGCUUAACACAUGCAAGUCGAACGGUACUCUUUCGGGGGUAUAGUGGCGGACGGGUGAGUAACGCGUGAGAAACUAGUGAUAGAUUGGGGACAACAGUUGGAAACGACUGCUAAUACCGAAUGUGCCCUUCGGGGGAAAGAUUUAUCGCCUUUAGAGCGGCCCGCGUCUGAUUAGCUAGUUGGAGAGGUAAAGGCUCACCAAGGCAUCGAUCAGUAGCUGGUCUGAGAGGAUGAUCAGCCACACUGGGACUGAGACCACGGCCCAGACUCCGUACGGGAGGCAGCAGUGGGGAAUAUUGGACAAUGGGCGAAAGCCUGAUCCAGCAAUGCCGCGUGAGUG
rnacentral:rRNA from 1 species